CACGUAGGGGGCAAGCGUUGUCCGGAUUCAUUGGGCGUAAAGAGCUCGUAGGCGGUUCGAUAAGUCGGGUGUGAAACCUCCAGGCUCAACCUGGAGACGCCACCCGAUACUGUCGUGACUAGAGUCCAGUAGGGGAGCGUGGAAUUCCUGGUGUAGCGGUGAAAUGCGCAGAUAUCAGGAGGAACACCGAUGGCGAAGGCAGGUCUCUGGGCAUUAACUGACGCUGAGGCGCGAAAGCUAGGGGAGCAAACGGG
rnacentral:rRNA from 1 species